rnacentral:ncRNA from 1 species
CGUGCCUAAUACAUGCAAGUCGAGCGCAGGAAGCAAGCAAUCACCCUUCGGGGGUGUGCGCUUGUGGAAUGAGCGGCGGACGGGUGAGUAACACGUGGGCAACCUACCUGUAAGACUGGGAUAACUCCGGGAAACCGGGGCUAAUACCGGAUAAAACAUUGGUUUGCAUGAACCAAUGAUGAAGCCCCCCUCAAGAUGAGACUUCCCAUCUUUUAGAGUAAGAUCCCUCAGAGACGAUGAGGUAGAUAGGUUCGAGGUGGAAGCGUGGUGACACGUGUAGCUGACGAAUACUAAUCGAUCGAGGACUUAACUAUAUUUAAAAAGCGAAAACGACCGUUUAGCAACG